GUUCACAGAAUUUUCAAGAUGGAAUCCAAUCGGACCUCGCAAACACAAAAGACAGGGGAAAUCAAGGAAAUAUAUCCCAUUGACCUCCCAGAUCUAGAUUACAGGGAACUGAGUUCAACCUCUGAAAACAUAUUGACCUCCCUGGCGUCAAACACCUAUGAAGGAGAGCGUUGGUUUCUACCCUCAAAUGGCUCAAAGGGUCUUACAAAAACAUCCAAUGUUGGUGACAGAUCUGUCACCUGCCAAACUGAACCCCUUCAUCAGGUGGAGGUGACACAUGACAACGUGGGCAGACUCCAGCUGUUCGGUGAUGACGAUCCACCUUGCACUCUGCUGACUCUGCACAUGCCUGCAGAUGGAACUCAAGUGGUGGCCCUGAACCUGCAAGGAAAGUGGUGGUCUUUAAAUGAUGUUUUGAAGACAUCCACCAAAUCCAGAUCUGGUCUUGUGAUGGUGCAGUCUGUUAUGGAGAGAGUGAUACUUUUCCUGCUUAGUCAAAUCAUUUUUGGAGUUUUGGAGAGGCCUUCAGGGGAAGAGAUUUACUUCUCACCUCACCCAAUGAGGGAAUUUGGCAAAAUUCUAUGGCAUAAUGGGGAGGCAGUUGGAUUCUACACCAUCAAAAAGAAAGGAAGUCUGUGUGAUGGAUUCACUCGUCGAAGCUAUCAGCUUUCUGUCCUUGACACUGUGUUUGUGAGGACUCAGUGGAGGAGGAGUGGUCUGGCACUGCAGAUCCUGGCAGACUUCUGUAAAUCCCUCCCCAACGAGGAAGUGAUCGGAAUCAGCUGUCCCAUAUCCCCAAGCAUGAUUAAAGUGUGCAGCAAGUAUCUGCAGAUGCACCAGGACCAAAGGGACCGGCUCUAUGAGGUGGAAGCUCCUGGGGGCUGGGGCCAGAGACGGAACAUAUGGCUCAACAUACAGCUCAACCGAAGCACAAACAGUGAGGCCUUCCCUAGGUUUGGAUCAGGGUGAACCAAUGCAAAGGCUCAAGUGAGGAGCAAUGUCCAACAACAUUGAACAAGGAGAAACUAUAAAUAAUCAUAUCAUCAGAUGUCUCUUGAUUAUUGGUUUUCUGAUGGUUUGGCUGUGAUGCCAAACAGAAGUAAAAUAGAGAAGCUACCGGCAGACGAGGCUGAGGGGAGUGCUAAUUCCAAACAGGCUGGGACAUUAAAUUAAACCUCAGACCACAGAUGGAUCAUGGUCCUCAGAAGACUUCAAGUUAUGUUUUUUUUAUGUCAUUUGUAACAGGACAUAGAAUGGCAUUUGUGUCAGUUGUUAUUUUGAGCAACUAUAAGGUGCUGACUAAGGCUAUAAAUAAUGGAUGUUCAAAAUGUUUACAAUUUUGGGACCUAAACUGCCAAUAAUGAUCUGCUUAAUAAAGUGAUAUCAUCACGGUGGUUACA